UGUGUGGACUCUAUGGAAGACUAUAGAAAGCUUGAGAAAAAGGUAAGGGUAAGGAAAAAAUUGCAACUCCUGCCACUGUCGAGAGUUGGGAUGGUAACACAGAGGAUUCUACAAACACCCAAACCACAAGAAUAUCUAGAGGUCGUACACACCUAGAUAAGCUAGCUAAGCAAUGGGUUCAAGGAGUUAGAAUGGAUGUUGCAUUCAAGAAACUUGGAAAGCCAAUAGGAGAAGCAGCUGUUGCAAUGCAAAGUUAUAUUGGUGUGCUUGCUCGAGAAAAGGUUAAAAUUACUUACAAGACUUGGAAAUAUGUUCCAAGUGAUGUUAAAGAACUGAUAUGGGAAUAAGUUAAUUUUGACGUACAAUGUUGACACAAAGUGGAAGAAAGGUUGUUUGAAAUAUGUAAAUAAUAAGUGGCGUCAAUACAAAACUCAUUUCACUAAGACAUUCAUUUUAAGUAAGCUUGAUAAACCAGAGGAGUUGGAUGAGCCACCUACUAGCUAUGGUAUUACAAGAGAUACGUGAAGGUCGUUUGUGAUUAGUCGCAUGUCUGAAUAUUUCAUUAUAAGAUUCUUAAUUUAUUUAUUUUUAAUUAAUUUAUUUAUAUUCAAGUUUGAAAUAACUAGAAACUAAGUUAUCAACAAAAAGAGAGAAGAAAACAACACAUAUAUCCUCAUCGACUUUCACGUAAAGGAUAUGCACGAUUUGCAGAAGAAAUAGCAACAGAAUUAUGUGAUGAUGAUGACAUUAAUAGAGCUAUUUUGUGGAAGAAAGGAUGAGUCACCAAAGAAGGUGACUUUAAAGGAAAGGACUUGAUGAAAAAAGUACAUCAGAUUGAUGAUUAUAUACAACAAAAGAGGGAGGGUAAGCUGAAAAUUGAAGGUACCAAAGAGGAUAUACUUACAAAGCACUUGAGACUGGAGAAUAUAAUGGUCGUGUGAGGGGUAUUGGAGGUCAUAUCACUCCAACAAUAUAUUUCGAUUUUGGUAGAAGAUGGAAGUGUGCUGAUGUUGCCUAAGAAGUAAUCAUUGAGCAUAAAAGGGAGCUGAUGGAGGCCAGGAAGAAAAUUUUAGAACAAGAUGCACGUAUACAAAACCUUGAAGUAAUUGUGUAUAAAAAGGGUGCAAGCAACAUUUUGAUUGAUGACAAAGGCAGUUGCUCAGUGAAGUUGCAUCCUAUGAUUGAAGAUGACAUGAAGAUCGAUGAUGAUGCCCCACAGAUUUUGUGUCAAGAUAAUGCUUUACAGGUAUAACACUAGUUGUAGUUAUAUUAAUUGUGACCUGUAGAUUUUGUGACCUGCAACUUUUGUA